GUGGAGUGGGGAACGGGUGAAGCUUCCUCCAUGGGAAAAGAACCUGGGAAUCUUUUAGAAUGAAAACUGAAAUCAAAAGAAUGUAAUGGACUGCCAGUUCUCAAGACUCCCUUGUCUAAUAUUCAGGAUGAGCUGGAGAAUAGUGGAAAAAGGAGAGGAUUUGUGGUCAGAAACCUGGGGUCCCUCCCCAUUUGGCGAGCUACCUGGAUCCAGACAUGAUUUCAUCGGUCUAAGGAACGCUGUUGAAGAAGUUAAUGUGGGACAUAAAGCAGUUGGGUGGCUCAGUGAAUAAAGCACUGGGUCUGGAGUCAGGAAGACUCGAGGAUCAGGUAAGAUAAAAGAUACAUGAUAAAUUACUAUAGUAUAUUAUA